rnacentral:rRNA from 1 species
GUGGUUUAAUUCGAUGAUACGCGAGGAACCUUACCCGGGCUUGAAAUGCAUCUGACCGGUCUGGAAACAGGCCUUCUAGCAAUAGCAGAUGUGUAGGUGCUGCAUGGUUGUCGUCAGCUCGUGCCGUGAGGUGUCGGCUUAAGUGCCAUAACGAGCGCAACCCUUAUCAUUAGUUGCCAGCGGGUCAUGCCGGGAACUCUAAUGAGACUGCCACCGUAAGGUGUGAGGAAGGUGGGGAUGACGUCAAAUCAGCACGGCCCUUACGUCCGGGGCGACACACGUGUUACAAUGGGGGGUACAGAGGGUCGCUACCUAGUGAUAGGAUGCUAAUCUCAUAAAGCCUCUCUCAGUUCGGAUCGGAGUCUGCAACUCGACUCCGUGAAGCUGGAUUCGCUAGUAAUCGCGCAUCAGCCAUGGCGCGGUGAAUACGUUCCCGGGCCUU